rnacentral:tRNA from 1 species
GAGGGUAUAGCUCAGUGGUAGAGUGCGGGCCUAACAUGCAUGAGGUCCUGGGUUCAAUCCCCUGCACUGCCA